GAUGAACGCUGGCGGCGUGCUUAACACAUGCAAGUCGAACGGAGUUUAAGAAGGAAGCUUGCUUUCAUUUUAAACUUAGUGGCGGACGGGUGAGUAACGCGUGAGGAACCUGCCCUUCAGUGGGGAACAACAACUAGAAAUGGUUGCUAAUACCGCAUAAUGUCGGAGAACCGCAUGAUUUUCCGACCAAAGGAUUUAUUCGCUGAAGGAUGGCUUCGCGUCCGAUUAGAUAGUUGGUGAGGUAACGGCCCACCAAGUCUGCGAUCGGUAGCCGAACUGAGAGGUUGAUCGGCCACAUUGGGACUGAGACACGGCCCAUACUCCUACGGGAGGCAGCAGUGGGGAAUAUUGGGCAAUGGGCGAAAGCCUGACCCAGCAACGCCGCGUGAAGGAUGACGUUCUUCGGAUUGUAAACUUCUUUAAUUGGGGAAGAACAAAAUGACCUACCCAAAGAAUAAGUCACGGCUAACUACGUGCCAGCAGCCGCGGUAAUACGUAGGUGACAAGCGUUAUCCGGAUUUACUGGGCGUAAAGGGCGUGUAGGCGGUCUUGCAAGUCAGAAGUGAAAUUCCUGAGCUCAACUCGGGCGCUGCUUCUGAAACUGCAGGACUUGAGUGCUGGAGGGGAUAGCGGAAUUCCUAGUGGAGCGGUAAAAUGCGCAGAUAUUAGGAAGAACACCGGUGGCGAAGGCGGCUAUCUGGACGAUUACUGACGCUGAGGCUCGAAAGCGUGGGGAGCAAACA
rnacentral:rRNA from 1 species